UACAGAGGUCUCAAGCGUUGUUCGGAUUCAUUGGGCGUAAAGGGUGCGUAGGUGGCGCCGUAAGUCAGGUGUGAAAUUUCGGAGCUUAACUCCGAAACUGCAUUCGAUACUGCGGUGCUUGAGGACUGGAGAGGAGACUGGAAUUCACGGUGUAGCAGUGAAAUGCGUAGAUAUCGUGAGGAAGACCAGUGGCGAAGGCGGGUCUCUGGACAGUUCCUGACACUGAGGCACGAAGGCCAGGGGAGCAAACGGG
rnacentral:rRNA from 1 species